rnacentral:rRNA from 1 species
UGGAUCCAGACUUUGAUUCUGGCUCAGGAUGAACGCUAGCUACAGGCUUAACACAUGCAAGUCGAGGGGAAACGACAUCGAAAGCUUGCUUUUGAUGGGCGUCGACCGGCGCACGGGUGAGUAACGCGUAUCCAACCUGCCCAUCACUUGGGGAUAACCUUGCGAAAGUAAGACUAAUACCCAAUGACGUCUCUAGAAGACAUCUGAAAGAGAUUAAAGAUUUAUCGGUGAUGGAUGGGGAUGCGUCUGAUUAGCUUGUUGGCGGGGUAACGGCCCACCAAGGCAACGAUCAGUAGGGGUUCUGAGAGGAAGGUCCCCCACAUUGGGACUGAGACACGGUCCAAACUCCUACGGGAGGCAGCAGUGAGGAAUAUUGGUCGAUGGGCGAGAGCCUGAACCAGCCAAGUAGCGUGCAGGAUGACGGCCCUAUGGGUUGUAAACUGCUUUUAUAAGGGAAUAAAGUGAGUCUCGUGAGACUUUUUGCAUGUACCUUAUGAAUAAGGACCGGCUAAUUCCGUGCCAGCAGCCGCGGUAAUACGGAAGGUCCGGGCGUUAUCCGGAUUUAUUGGGUUUAAAGGGAGCGUAGGCCGGAGAUUAAGCGUGUUGUGAAAUGUAGACGCUCAACGUCUGCACUGCAGCGCGAACUGGUUUCCUUGAGUACGCACAAAGUGGGCGGAAUUCGUGGUGUAGCGGUGAAAUGCUUAGAUAUCACGAGGAACUCCGAUUGCGAAGGCAGCUCACUGGAGCGCAACUGACGCUGAAGCUCGAAAGUGCGGGUAUCGAACAGGAUUAGAUACCCUGGUAGUCCGCACGGUAAACGAUGGAUGCCCGCUGUUGGUCUGAAUAGGUCAGCGGCCAAGCGAAAGCAUUAAGCAUCCCACCUGGGGAGUACGCCGGCAACGGUGCAACUCAAAGGAAUUGACGGA